rnacentral:misc_RNA from 1 species
GAUGAAGAACGUAGCGAAAUGCGAUACUUGGUGUGAAUUGCAGAAUCCCGUGAACCAUCGAGUCUUUGAACGCAAGUUGCGCCCGAAGCCAUUAGGCCGAGGGCACGCCUGCCUGGGCGUCACACGUUGUUGCCCCCCCAUCUACUCCUUCGGGAUUGCGUGGGGCGGAUGAUGGCCUCCCGUGCGCCUCGCCGCGCGGUUGGCAUAAAUGCCAAGUCCUCGGCGACGCACGCCACGACAAUCGGUGGUUGCGAAACCUCGGUUGCCCGUCGUGUGCGGUCGUCGCGCAUCGAGGGCUCGAAAAAAUUGCCGGGUUCCGGCUCGGCUUUCAACGCGACCCCAGGUCAGGCGGGGUUACCCGCUGAAUUUAAGCAUAUCAAUAAGCGGAGGA